UGUUUUUAACAUUUCCUGUUGUCAUGCACUGUACAACUUUCAGUAGUAGAGGUUGGAAAUUUAAAAUGGAUAGCACUGCAGGUGAGGAACACUUGCACUCUCUUGGUCCCUUUUUGCUAAUAUGUAAUGUAAAUAAAUUCCUUACAUGUGGGUUUUUGUAACUGGUCCCUCUGUAGUAAUCAAGUCAAUUAUCAUUGCCUCUUUUUAAGUGCAGGAGAUUCUCAGUUGUCUGGUGUUUAAAAGCAGAGUCUGAAUAACUUGGGGUAAAGAUUUAAGCUAGUGUGAUGUAACUUACAUUGCUAUCUGGUUUCAAAACUACAUAUAUAUUACUCAUAACAUUACAAUUUGAACUUUAAAUGUCAAAUUUUUCUUAACUUAUGUAUUCACUACUUUAAUUGGAUUCAAUUUGUCUUAUAUUUUUGUGUUAACUUGUACAGUUUUCUUACUUUUCAAGUAUAAAUCUCUGUAUAUAUCUGUACAUACAAGGAUCAAACCUUCCUUUACGACCACUAGUAACAAUUCCUGUGUAAAUAAAACUCAUAAUAGAA